rnacentral:rRNA from 1 species
CAUAAUCAUUAGUUCUUUAAUUGGGAACUUGUAUGAAUGGUUAGACAAAGGAAAAACUGUCUUUGUUUGAUAAAUUGAAUUUAACUUUUAAGUGAAAAGGCUUAAAUAAAUUAAGGGGACGAUAAGACCCUAUAAAGCUUUAUAAGUGGGAGAGUUUUGUUAAAGUUAGUAAUAGUGAAAUUCUUAACAUUUAUUUUGUUGGGGCGACAUAAAUAAAAUUUUUAUAACUGUUUAUAUUUAAGUCAUUUAUAAGUGAAAACGUAGUUGAUCCUUUUUUAAGAUAAGAGAUUAAGUUACUUUAGGGAUAACAGCGUUAUUUUUUCUGAGAGUUCUUAUCGAAGAAAAAGAUUGCGACCUCGAUGUUGAAUUAAAGAAUCUGAGUAGUGCAGCUGCUACUGAAG